rnacentral:rRNA from 1 species
CGGAGAAUGAACAACAGGUAAGCCUGCCCAGUGACAAGUUUAACGGCCGCGGUACUCUGACCGUGCGAAGGUAGCAUAAUCACUUGUUCUUUAAAUGGGGACUCGUAUCAAUGGCAUCACGAGGGCCAUACUGUCUCCUUUUUCCAAUCAGUGAAACUGAUCUCCCCGUGAAGAAGCGGGGAUAAUCCUAUAAGACGAGAAGACCCCAUGGAGCUUUAAACCCAACAACAACUCUGAAUUACUAAACCACAAAAAUUAAAUGAGCCCUGUAAUUGUUGGUUUUAGGUUGGGGUGACCGCGGAGCAUAAAAUAACCUCCACGACGAACGGGACUAAACCCUUAUCCAAGAACUACCACUCUAAGAAUCAGCACUCUGACUUCUAAUGAUCCGAUUACUCGAUCAACGAACCAAGUUACCCUGGGGAUAACAGCGCCAUCCAUUUCGAGAGCUCCUAUCGACAAAUGGGUUUACGACCUCGAUGUUGGAUCAGGGUAUCCCAGUGGUGCAGCCGCUACUAAAGGUUUGUUUGUUCAACAAUUAAAACCCUACGUGAUCUGAGUUCAGACAGGAUACCCUCUUUAUAAAAAACACAUCCCUUUUUUUUUUUAAAAACGAGUAGCCCUCUUUAAAAAAAAGAUUGCUCUCGUUGUACACACAGAGCGCCACUGUUAAAAAACGUGUUCUGUAGAUGGGGAACGAGCGCCGGCGCCUAAAGCACACGGUGUUCUGUAGUACAAUACGAGAUAACGGAUUUCGAGAUAACGUGUGUUUCUUCUGUA